rnacentral:tRNA from 1 species
GCCCGGAAAGCUCAGUCGGUAGUUAAAAGUCAGACUUUUAAUCUGAGGGUCCAGGGUUCAGGUCCCUGUUGGGGCA